UAUUCUGCCCCACGGGGAAGGAUGAGAAGCUUCGACUAAGGUUCGACUCGAGCGAAGCGAGAGAACGUUGCCGCA
rnacentral:sRNA from 1 species